AUUGAACGCUGGCGGCAGGCCUAACACAUGCAAGUCGAACGGUAACAGGGAUCAGCUUGCUGAUUCGCUGACGAGUGGCGGACGGGUGAGUAAUGUCUGGGAAACUGCCCGAUGGAGGGGGAUAACUACUGGAAACGGUAGCUAAUACCGCAUAACGUCGCAAGACCAAAGAGGGGGACCUUCGGGCCUCUUGCCAUCGGAUGUGCCCAGAUGGGAUUAGCUAGUAGGUGGGGUAACGGCUCACCUAGGCGACGAUCCCUAGCUGGUCUGAGAGGAUGACCAGCCACACUGGAACUGAGACACGGUCCAGACUCCUACGGGAGGCAGCAGUGGGGAAUAUUGCACAAUGGGCGCAAGCCUGAUGCAGCCAUGCCGCGUGUAUGAAGAAGGCCUUCGGGUUGUAAAGUACUUUCAGCGGGGAGGAAGGGAGUAAAGUUAAUACCUUUGCUCAUUGACGUUACCCGCAGGAGAAGCACCGGCUAACUCCGUG
rnacentral:rRNA from 1 species